rnacentral:rRNA from 1 species
UACGUAGGGUGCGAGCGUUAAUCGGAAUUACUGGGCGUAAAGCGUGCGCAGGCGGUCCGCAAAGUCUGAUGUGAAAGCCCCGGGCUCAACCUGGGAACUGCAUUGGAAACUAACGGGCUCGAGUGUGGCAGAGGGGGGUGGAAUUCCACGUGUAGCAGUGAAAUGCGUAGAGAUGUGGAGGAACACCGAUGGCGAAGGCAGCCCCCCUGGGCUAACACUGACGCUCAGGCACGAAAGCGUGGGGAGCAAACAGG